UACGAAGGGGGCUAGCGUUGCUCGGAUUGACUGGGCGUAAAGGGCGCGUAGGCGGUUCGUACAGUCAGACGUGAAAAUUCCUGGGCUCAACCUGGGGGGCUGCGUUUUGAUACGUGCGGACUUGAGUGCGGAAGAGGGGUCGUGGAAUUCCCAGUGUAGAGGUGAAAAUUCGUAGAUAUUGGGGAAAGAACACCGGUGGCGAAGGCGGCGACCUGGUCCGAUACUGACGCUGAGGCGCGAAAAGCGUGGGGGAGCAAACAGG
rnacentral:rRNA from 1 species